AUUGAACGCUGGCGGCAGGCCUAACACAUGCAAGUCGAGCGAGUGGCGGACGGGUGAGUAAUGCUUGGGAAUCUGGCUGAUGGAGGGGGAUAACUACUGGAAACGGUAGCUAAUACCGCAUACUAUCGGAUGAACCCAACUGGGAUUAGCUAGUUGGUGGGGUAAAGGCUCACCAAGGCGACGAUCUCUAGCUGGUCUGAGAGGAUGACCAGCCACACUGGGACUGAGACACGGCCCAGACUCCUACGGGAGGCAGCAGUGGGGAAUAUUGCGCAAUGGGCGCAAGCCUGAUGCAGCCAUGCCGCGUGUAUGAAGAAGGCCUUAGGGUUGUAAAGUACUUUCGGCAGGGAGGCGUUACCCACAGAAGAAGCACCGGCUAACUCCGUGCCAGCAGCCGCGGUAAUAC
rnacentral:rRNA from 1 species